AAUCUAUGAUGAGGGCAUCUUCUAAGGAGGUCUUUAAAUCUUUCAUAAGCCUCAAAUAGUGUUUCAAACUCCCUUUGUUUAAAUGCCGAAAUCUCUUGCCUCAACUU